ACAAAGGGCAGCAAACUCGCGAGAGCUAGCAAAUCCCAUAAACCGUGGCUCAGUUCAGAUCGUAGGCUGCAACUCGCCUACGUGAAGGAGGAAUCGCUAGUAAUCGCAGGUCAGCAUACUGCGGUGAAUACGUUCCCGGGCCUUGUACACACCGCCCGUCACACCAUGGAAGUUGGCCACGCCCGAAGCCGUUACUCCAACCCUUGUGGAGGAGGACGUCGAAGGUGGGGCUGAUGACUGGGGUGAAGUCGUAACAAGGUAGCCGUACCGGAAGGUGCGGCUGGAUCACCUCCUAAC
rnacentral:rRNA from 1 species